GAUAUUAAAACAGUUUUCAAGGAGCAAAAGCAGAGGAAAGAAGAGGCCCAGCUAGACUGUAGCAAGGUUAGAAGAUACACGCAAGAUUGCCUGCCACACACAUCGGGUCUUGUUCCUGUCCAGUAUUUGCAUGGAGAUAUCAAGUUAAUUAGGGAGCUCUUUCUGAGAUGAAGAGAAUUCUCAAUGUCAAGAUUUGAACAAGAAGAGAAUGGAAUACACAAUAUGGACAUCCAUAAAAAUUCAUCAGAGAGCAUUUUACUACUGAGCUGCAAAGGUAGGAAAAAUAAAUUUUUUUUGGUUAGAAAAUAUACUUCUUUCAUCUGCGUUUCAAUAAUUUAUUCCCCUUGUUAGAUAUACAUGGAAUUGAUAUUGCUUAUUCUGACUAAGUGAAAAGUGUUAUUUCUACUUACUGCUCAAUUAGAAACAUGUAGUGUUUAAUUGUCAGUUUGAAUUUUUCUUUCAUACUAUUACAGUUUAUAUUUUACUAUAGGCAGAAUUUCCUCUUUAUCCUAAAUUUUGAUAUUCUCCAUAAUUUCAUCGUGCCUUGACAUUGCUGUAUAUAAUUUCUAUACAUCAGGAAGGCAAUUCUGUGUGCAUGUGUGUGUGUAUAUAUAUAGUUAGAAGUUAGAAACUGAAACUCUUUUUUGUCUACCAUCAUUUCAUAUUUUUCUUGCUAUUUCAAACCUAUAAUUUUUAAAGAAACGACUAACGUAAUCAUUCAUAGAAUAUGCUGUCAGUAACUUAACAAUAUAAAUGUUAACAUGGAGGCAUUUAGUUCAGCAUUUGCUUUACUUAAUAGAGUGCAGAAAAUGUGGCCCUUUUCUCAGUUAGGGUGUAUGUGAAGAUAAAUUUAGAAUUUCUAGACUAGUAAAUACUUCUCUGAUAAUAACUUAAUUAUAGCUAUUUCAAACCAAAUUGUUUAAUUGUGGUGAAUCAUAUGUAAAUUGUUCAGAUGUAGGUCAACACCCACGCCCACAUUCUAGCACCUCUUUCCUAAUUCAAGACAACUUUGCAGUGCCUAAAAGAGCUGAACAGUGCAGAUUAGAGACAUAAGACAAAAAAAAAAAAAAAA
rnacentral:lncRNA from 1 species